UACGUAGGUCCCGAGCGUUGUCCGGAUUUAUUGGGCGUAAAGCGAGCGCAGGUGGUUUAUUAAGUCUGGUGUAAAAGGCAGUGGCUCAACCAUUGUAUGCAUUGGAAACUGGUAGACUUGAGUGCAGGAGAGGAGAGUGGAAUUCCAUGUGUAGCGGUGAAAUGCGUAGAUAUCAGGAGGAACCCCGGUGGCGAAGGCGGCCUGCUGGACUGCAACUGACGUUGAGGCCCGAAAGCGUGGGGAGCAAACAGG
rnacentral:rRNA from 1 species